GAUGAACGCUGGCGGUAUGCUUAACACAUGCAAGUCGAACGAACUUUUAAGAUAGUUAGUGGCGGACGGGUGAGUAACACGUGAGUUAUCUGCGUUUAGGUGAGGUAUACCAGAUGGAAACGUCUGUUAAUCCCUCAUAAGGCUAUUAAGUUAAAGAUUUUUCGCCUAAACAUGAGCUUGCGUCUGAUUAGCUAGUUGGUAGGGUAAUGGCUUACCAAGGCAACGAUCAGUAGCUGGUCUGAGAAGAUGAACAGCCACACUGGGAUUUAGAACGGAACAGACUCCUACGGGAGGCAGCAGUGGGGAAUAUUUGGCAAUGAGCGCAAGCUUGACCAAGCAAUACCGCGUGGAGGAUGAAUGCUUUAGGGUUGUAAACUCCUUUUCUGAUUUAGGAAGUUCUGACAGUAUUUCAGGAAUAAGCAUCGGCUAACUUCGUGCCAGCAGCCGCAGUAAAAC
rnacentral:rRNA from 1 species